GGCGCACGGGUUGAGUAACGCGUUGGGUAACCUACCCCCCGGCGGGGGAUAACUACUCGAAAGGGUGGCUAAUACCGCAUGAGACCACGGGGUCCUCGGAUCCCGAGGCCAAAGGUCGCUUCGGCUUGCCGGAGCGGUCACCGGAGGAUGGGCCCGCGUCCGAUUAGCUAGUUGGUGAGGUAACGGCUCACCAAGGCUGCGAUCGGUAGCUGGUCUGAGAGGAUGAUCAGCCACACUGGAACUGGAACACGGUCCAGACUCCUACGGGAGGCAGCAGUGAGGAAUAUUGCGCAAUGGGGGAAACCCUGACGCA
rnacentral:rRNA from 1 species